AUUGAACGCUGGCGGCAGGCCUAACACAUGCAAGUCGAACGAGUGGCGGACGGGUGAGUAAUGUCUGGGAAACUGCCUGAUGGAGGGGGAUAACUACUGGAAACGGUAGCUAAUACCGCAUACCAUCGGAUGUGCCCAGAUGGGAUUAGCUAGUAGGUGGGGUAAAGGCUCACCAAGGCGACGAUCCCUAGCUGGUCUGAGAGGAUGAAGAGCAACACUGGAACUGAGACAAGGUCCAGAUUCCUACGGGAGGCAGAAGUGGGGAAUAUUGAACAAUGGGCGAAAGCCUGAAGGAGCAAGGCCGCGUGAGUGAAGAAGGUCUUCGGGUUGUAAAGUACUUUCAGCGGGGAUGCGGUACCCGAAGAGGAAGCCACGGCUAACUCCGUGCCAGCAGCGGCGGUAAUAC
rnacentral:rRNA from 1 species